GGAGUGGUAGUUCAGUUGGUUAGAAUACCGGCCUGUCACGCCGGUGGUCGCGGGUUCGAGUCCCGUCCACUCCG
rnacentral:tRNA from 2 species